rnacentral:lncRNA from 1 species
GAUCAUCUACGGACUGAGCGACCCCCUCAACCCUCUCAUCUGGAUACACGGAUGGGCCUGAAAAAAUUGUCAUACUCAUGUGGCCAAUUGGUACCCGAUGAUGUCAUCUGGGUAAUGUAGGAAGAAGGCAUUGCCAUCUGUGGAUCUAAAGGUGGUGGCAUCUGUGUAGCAUGUAGUGAUGACAUCUGCGGAAUAUGCGGUGAUGGCAUAUAUAGAACAUAUGG